rnacentral:tRNA from 3 species
GAUAGCUCAGUCGGUAGAGCAGAGGAUUGAAAAUCCUCGUGUCGGUGGUUCGAUUCCGCCUCCGGGCACCA